AAAAGUCUAACAAUCUUCUUGAGGUAUAUGUAGCACAUCUAAAUGGCUAUUUAUGAUUAUAGAUUUAAUAACUUGGAUGAGUAUGAUAAUUAAAAGAAGACAGUAUUGCUAUGGAAGGUUUAAUGAUGUUCCAUAAAUGGUCAGAAUUUAAUUGAUAUAGCUUAUAUAUUAGUGAUACUGAAUUGGUUUCAAACAAAGCUAAAUGACGAAAAAGGAUAUAUGUAGCAAACUCCAACUAGUUUGGGUCUAAGAUGUUAUGUAUAAGGGAUAUUAGUGGGGAUGGUAACCUCUUUCUUCAGAACAAUAAUAAUGUGAACAGAGUAGUACCAGUUUAGAAUUCCUUAUUCCUUCCUAUUUUCUAAUUUGUGCUACAGUAAUCUAUAAUGGUAGGGUCAACCUAAAUCUUAUGUAAUUUUUGUUUUCUUGAAUAAAAUUGUGAUUUUGGUAGUUUAAAUUGGUACCAUUGUUGCCUUGGAAACAGUAGUUCCUUUUACCUCAAAAGAGUAGAGUCUAUUAAUACUUAGGCAGCUAUUUCAUUUUCUCUUAUUUAUUCUCUCUUUCUAAUGUUGAGUAUGUAACUGGGCGAUGAACGCACCCUGCAACUUUUCAGGAUGAAGAAGAGGACAAUUUUG
rnacentral:misc_RNA from 1 species